rnacentral:rRNA from 1 species
GUCUGUGGCCAUACCACCCUGAGCAAGCCCGAUCUCUCUCAUCUGAUCUUGGAAGGUAAGCAGGGCCGGGCCUCGUUAGUACUUGGAUGGGAGAAAAGGAAGGUAUCAAGGGUU